GGGUUGUGAGGUUAAGCGACUAAGCGUACACGGUGGAUGCCCUGGCAGUCAGAGGCGAUGAAGGACGUGCUAAUCUGCGAAAAGCGACGGCGAGGUGAUAUGAACCUUUGACCCGUCGAUGUCCGAAUGGGGAAACCCAGUGCAAUUCGUUGCACUAUCGUUA
rnacentral:rRNA from 1 species